GGAUGUAUUACUGGGCAAAUUCUUUUUGGCAGUUGAUGGUUUCGAAUUUUUGGUAAUUAAUUAAGAGAUUACCAUCAUCAGUUCACUGCCAAAGGAAAUUUGCCCGGCAAUUCAGCC
rfam:Beta vulgaris subsp. vulgaris Bvchr8.sca001.con0029.1, whole genome shotgun sequence.